rnacentral:rRNA from 1 species
UACGUAGGGGGCAAGCGUUGUCCGGAUUUAUUGGGCGUAAAGAGCGUGUAGGCGGUUUGGUAGGUCCGCUGUGAAAACUCGAGGCUCAACCCUGGGAUGCCGGUGGAAACUGUCGGGCUAGAGUCCGGAAGAGGCGAGUGGAAUUCCUGGUGUAGCGGUGAAAUGCGCAGAUAUCAGGAGGAACACCAAUGGCGAAGGCAGCUCGCUGGGACGGUACUGACGCUGAGACGCGAAAGCGUGGGGAGCGAACAGG